rnacentral:tRNA from 1 species
AAGAUUUUAAGUUAACUAAAACUAUAUGCCUUCAAAGCAUAAAAUAACACAAAUUAAAUCUUA